UUUGUGACAACACACCGGUUGCGGAACACUUAGUUAUACUAACCGUUUGUUGUUACUGGACUUCGAAUCGAGUCGUACCUCAUUCGCGUUGUAACUGCCGCUACGCGUAGGCCUUGCCACAUCGAAAGUAUAAAACAGAACAACUUUACAGUAAAUUAUCCAACUUUAUCAGCAGAAUACAAUCGAAUAUUUACAUGGCUCUUUACCUAGUUCUUCUGACAAGCGUUAUUAUCGGAUCUUUGAUAGGAAGAGGAUCGGCAGAUAUGAAAAAACUCGUACGCCCAAUUGCAUCUUCAGCUUGUCAGACGGGAUCCACUAGAGCA
rnacentral:lncRNA from 1 species